ensembl:lncRNA
CCAGUUGUUACCAUAACAACUGUAGCACUAGCUCACGACAGCUAGCAGCUAGUGCUAGAGUUACUGUUACUGUAUACUAGGCAGACAAAACAAUACAUUUUGAUAGAUGAAAGCUUACCUUGUUAAUAUGAGGCGCCACACAUAUUUUCCAGCAUCUGGGUAGCCGUCGCUGAAUUCAAAGCUCCGUUUAAGUCGUUUGCUGGUCGUCGGCCCAAAACAUUAUCCAGGAGCUGUAUAUUAAGACCGGUCCUGAUCCGUCCAGCACCACUUCUAGAUGACUCUGCCUUGUAGUCUCUGUAGUCUUUCUUUAUUUUUUUUUAUUUAUUCGUUAUUUGGUCUGUCGUUCGUUUAAACCCCCCUAUCUCCAACUCUCUCCGUAUUUCCUCAUAAAUUUUGUUUUUUCUAACGGCCUUAUCCAAUUUAUCCUGUAUUUCAGAUGAUGUCCAAAUCGCUAUAAGCAUAUCGGAUUCGUCGGUGGUCCACUGCUGUAUUGACUUUUCUGACAUGUUAGAAUAGUGCACUAUAAAUUAAAUGAAUUAUUAUUAUUAUUAUGUUUUAAAACUUAAUUGUAUGAUCUUGUCUGUUAAAAUAAAGUAACGGCUUUUGACGGCUCAGCUGAAAAACAAUGGCGGCGAAAACUUUUGUUGCAAGUGGGAUAGCCCCGCCCAUAACCUCUGUGACGUUAGUGGUGCCCGAUUUUGGGCCCAGCAACUCCAGGGAGCCGUGCCGGUGCCGGAUUCUCAGCACCAGCACCAGCAAAAUUUUGGUCGAAACGCGCAGAACUGGUGCCAGAUAAGGCACCGGCACCAUGUCGGUGGAAACGAGGUAUAAUUGAAUCUGAGAAGCCACCAUCAGGUCCGUUCAUCAUUCAUUGGAAGGGGAGCGUGCCUAUGUUCCCACAGCCCAAUGUUCCCACAUUUCUAAUAUUCAAAAUUAGGCCCUAUGUUCCUACAGUUCAUCUAACCCUAACCCUAAAUAAUAACCCGCGGGCGGGUCCACGAAUUUUUUCAAAAUGGCGAUUUUUGUACUUUUUUUUUUUUAACAUGAACAUGCAAAUUGACUGUAUAAUUUCGGAGGAAUUGAUCAUUUACUUUAGGCAUGCAUUUGUAGGUGUUUUUGUCCCGAAAACGGCUGGGGCUUAACAGGAAAUGUGGGACCAUAGGGUUUAAUUUUCAGAAAAAUGUAGAAAUGUGGGAACUUAGGGACUCAUUUUUCAAAAUAAAUCUGGAAACAUAGGUCUGUGGGAACAUAGAGCCUAAUUUUCCAAAUUGUCAGUGAAAAAAAAAAUCCUUAGAAAUGUGGGAACAUAGGGCUGACC